rnacentral:rRNA from 1 species
GACGAACGCUGGCGGCGUGCUUAACACAUGCAAGUCGUACGGUAAGGCCCUUUCGGGGGUACACGAGUGGCGAACGGGUGAGUAACACGUGAGUAACCUGCCCACAACUUUGGGAUAACGCUAGGAAACUGGUGCUAAUACUGGAUAUGUGCUCCUGCUGCAUGGUGGGGGUUGGAAAGCUCCGGCGGUUGUGGAUGGACUCGCGGCCUAUCAGCUUGUUGGUGGGGUAGUGGCCUACCAAGGCGGCGACGGGUAGCCGGCCUGAGAGGGUGACCGGCCACAUUGGGGCUGAGAUACGGCCCAGACUCCUACGGGAGGCAGCAGUGGGGAAUAUUGCACAAUGGGCGCAAGCCUGAUGCAGCAACGCCGCGUGCGGGAUGACGGCCUUCGGGUUGGAAACCGCUUUCAGCAGGGACGAAGCUUUUUGUGACGGUACCUGCAGAAGAAGCACCGGCUAACUACGUG